UACAGAGGGUGCGAGCGUUAAUCGGAAUUACUGGGCGUAAAGCGCACGUAGUCGGCUUUGCAAGUCGGGUGUGAAAUCCCCGGGCUCAACCUGGGAACUGCAUCCGAGACUGCAUUGCUAGAGUAUGGGAGAGGGAAGCGGAAUUUCUGGUGUAGCAGUGAAAUGCGUAGAUAUCAGAAGGAACAUCAGUGGCGAAGGCGGCUUCCUGGUCCAGCACCGACGUUCAGGCACGAAAGCGUGGGGAGCAAACAGG
rnacentral:rRNA from 1 species